AUGACGUGGCUCGCAGCUACUGGUUGUUCUUCCCCCACAGGUGUCAGCGCUGAGAUCCAGCUGACCCAGUCCAGGGCAGAAAUCAAGAGGGCUGGGGAGUCAGUGCAAGUGAUGUGCAAAGCCUCUGGUUACACCUUCACCAGCAAUAACAUGAACUGGGCCCGUCAGGCCCCCAGGAAAGGGCUGGAAUGGUUGGCGUACAUUAACCCUUCUUCCGGGGACACCGGUUAUGCCAAGGCCUUACAGGGUCGACUCGCUGUCAGCAAAGAUGCCUCCAUCAGCACGGCCUAUCUGCAGCUGAGCAGCCUGAAAGUUGAUGACACGGCCAUGUAUUACUGUGGCCGCCGCACAGUGCGACAAAAUGCAUCCAGAGCAAUACAAAAACCUCACUCUACAGGAAUCUUUGUUUCUUGCUGA